rnacentral:lncRNA from 1 species
AAAAGGCUAAGUUUCCACACAAUACCAUGAAAGGGGGGAGACUUACAAUCUCACUUACUAGAAUGUUAUGCCUUUGUGUCAAAAUUUCGCGUUAUGUUAAGCAAUCAUAAUUGAACUUAUGUAGAAGUCACAACUACCUGAGACCGGGAAAUAAAAAUUUUAGGUGUUAAUGCAUGUUAGAGAUAUGGUAUAAUGAACCAUACUCCUAAAACAUACCACAC